rnacentral:misc_RNA from 1 species
UGGACACAGACAGUAACGUUAUUUUAUUCUUUACUCUGUUAAAGCUUGUGACUCAUUGCUCCAUUUGGGCAUGGUCAAAAGGUAAAUAACGAUCUAAGGUGUAGCUGGUGCAUCAAAAUAACAUGGGAAGAAGUGGAGCCUGGGAAAUCAGAUGCCUCUCAGCGCAUUAAAAUAUACCAGCCGACAGAGAUGGUUUGCAGAGAGAAUUUUGUGGCAUCCUCAUAUUUAGCUCAUUUUAAGUCGGUCUUGCCAAUUUACACAGAAAAUAGAAAGAAACUUGCUUAUGCCCAGGCUUCCUGCCUCUGAUCAUACAUUCUUAACCCUCUUCUUCGCAUGUAUGAUUUUUAUCCACUUGUAUUUUACACGGUUAGCAGUUGGAUAUUAGUUAUUUACGCACAGUAAGACAAGGGAGGAAACAAAAUAACAGCUGCA